rnacentral:rRNA from 1 species
GAUCAAGUGUACUGGGGCCUCAAUGGAAAUGGUAGAUUUUCUACCAAAUCUAUGUACAAAUGGCUAAAAAAUCCCCUUAGUGGCUGCCACUAUAGAUGGGUUUGGAAGGCCAAGAUCCCCCUCAAGAUCAAAAAUUUUCUGUGGCAGCUAUCUCAAGAUGCUGUUCUGACUAGACAAGUUAUGAAAGAGAGGAGAUGGCCUGGGGAUCCUAAAUGUUCCUUUUGUGACAAUAUUGAGUCUUCCCGGCAUUUGUUUUUCACCUGCCCUGUGGCUAAAGUGGUCUGGCGUUGUGUUGGGAUGGCACUAGGGACUGAUCUCUGUCCUAAUAGUUACUGGCAAUACUUCUCCUGGUGUUACACUUUCCUUCCGAUGGGAAGAAAUACUAUACUGUCGGCCUUGCGGCUGUUUGCUGGGCUAUUUGGCUGGCUCGAAAUCGAGCCACGUUUGAAAAAAAGCAGAUCAAGACGCCGUUUGAGAUUGUGUUUUCCAUGUGUUCCUUUUUGA